rnacentral:ncRNA from 1 species
UAGAGCUGUAUGCCGGGAAACUUGCACGUACAGUUCGUCGGAGAGCGGCAACCAGCAAUGGUUGCUGCUUAUCCUAU